UCUUCUCUUUUCUUAUUUUUGUCAAUUUUGCUAGAGAUUUAUUAAUUUUUUUAAGAACAAGCUUUUUGUUUUAUUGUUUUCCUCUUUCCAAUUUCACUGACUUUUUGCCUUAUCUUUAUGAUUUCUUUCUUUCUGCUGGAUUUGAGUUUAUUUCACUUUUUUUCCCCUAGUUUCUAGAGGUGCAACUUACGGACUUGAGAUCUUCCUCUUUUCUCACGAGCAUCUUUGAUGGGUUGAGAGUACUAAUUGUAUCCUAGACUUGCUCAUCCCCAACACUGAGGCCCUGAGUCUGUACCCUGACUUGGGGGCUGAACUGGAGCAACUCUUUGCUCUGGGAGAAGAGUUAAAAGGAGUUCACAAUGUUCAGGCCCAGCUGUCUUUUGGGAGAGAUGUCUGCACUGAUUAUGGAUCCAAACAUCAGAGAGGAAGUGACAACUUUUCAGAAUCCUUGAUUCGAAGUCAAGAAAGCCUAGAAGAACAUGCAAGACAACAUUCAAGCAGAACCCAGGGAUACUAUGCAGAAAGUCUUUCAAUUUGAAUACUUUACUU
rnacentral:lncRNA from 1 species